rnacentral:rRNA from 1 species
AGAGUUUGAUCCUGGCUCAGGACGAACGCUGGCGGCGUGCCUAAUACAUGCAAGUCGAGCGGACUUAAAAAGCUUGCUUUUUAAGUUAGCGGCGGACGGGUGAGUAACACGUGGGCAACCUGCCUGUAAGACUGGGAUAACUUCGGGAAACCGGAGCUAAUACCGGAUAAUCCUUUUCUACUCAUGUAGAAAAGCUGAAAGACGGUUUACGCUGUCACUUACAGAUGGGCCCGCGGCGCAUUAGCUAGUUGGUGAGGUAACGGCUCACCAAGGCGACGAUGCGUAGCCGACCUGAGAGGGUGAUCGGCCACACUGGGACUGAGACACGGCCCAGACUCCUACGGGAGGCAGCAGUAGGGAAUCUUCCGCAAUGGACGAAAGUCUGACGGAGCAACGCCGCGUGAGUGAUGAAGGUUUUCGGAUCGUAAAACUCUGUUGUUAGGGAAGAACAAGUACGAGAGUAACUGCUCGUACCUUGACGGUACCUAACCAGAAAGCCACGGCUAACUACGUGCCAGCAGCCGCGGUAAUACGUAGGUGGCAAGCGUUGUCCGGAAUUAUUGGGCGUAAAGCGCGCGCAGGCGGUCCUUUAAGUCUGAUGUGAAAGCCCACGGCUCAACCGUGGAGGGUCAUUGGAAACUGGGGGACUUGAGUGCAGAAGAGAAGAGUGGAAUUCCACGUGUAGCGGUGAAAUGCGUAGAGAUGUGGAGGAACACCAGUGGCGAAGGCGACUCUUUGGUCUGUAACUGACGCUGAGGCGCGAAAGCGUGGGGAGCAAACAGGAUUAGAUACCCUGGUAGUCCACGCCGUAAACGAUGAGUGCUAAGUGUUAGAGGGUUUCCGCCCUUUAGUGCUGCAGCAAACGCAUUAAGCACUCCGCCUGGGGAGUACGGCCGCAAGGCUGAAACUCAAAGGAAUUGACGGGGGCCCGCACAAGCGGUGGAGCAUGUGGUUUAAUUCGAGCAACGCGAGAACUUACAGGUCUGACAUCUCUGACAUCCUAGAGA